rnacentral:rRNA from 1 species
AGAACGAACGCUGGCGGCAGGCUUAACACAUGCAAGUCGAGCGCCCCGCAAGGGGAGCGGCAGACGGGUGAGUAACGCGUGGGAAUCUACCCAGCCCUACGGAAUAGCUCCGGGAAACUGGAAAUAAUACCGUAUACGUCCGAUAGGAGAAAGAUUUAUCGGGGUUGGAUGAGCCCGCGUUGGAUUAGCUAGUUGGUGGGGUAAUGGCCUACCAAGGCGACGAU